UACGAAGGGGCUAGCGUUGCUCGGAAUCACUGGGCGUAAAGGGUGCGUAGGCGGGUCUUUAAGUCAGGGUGAAAUCCUGGAGCUCAACUCCAGAACUGCCUUUGAUACUGAAGAUCUUGAGUUCGGGAGAGGUGAGUGGAACUGCGAGUGUAGAGGUGAAAUUCGUAGAUAUUCGCAAGAACACCAGUGGCGAAGGCGGCUCACUGGCCCGAUACUGACGCUGAGGCACGAAAGCGUGGGGAGCAAACAGGG
rnacentral:rRNA from 1 species